UACGGAGGGGGCUAGCGUUGUUCGGAAUUACUGGGCGUAAAGCGCACGUAGGCGGCUUUGUAAGUUAGAGGUGAAAGCCCGGAGCUCAACUCCGGAAUUGCCUUUAAGACUGCAUCGCUUGAAUCAUGGAGAGGUGAGUGGAAUUCCUGGUGUAGCGGUGAAAUGCGUAGAUAUCAGGAGGAACACCGGUGGUGAAAACGGCUUUCUGGACCGUAACUGACGCUGAGACACGAAAGCGUGGGGAGCAAACAGG
rnacentral:rRNA from 1 species